AAACCGCCCAAUGUCUCAGUCAACUUCCUGCUGCCUGCAAGAUGUAAGACUCUCAGCUACUACUCCAGCACCACCACAUCUGCCUGAGGCUUCCUGUCAUGAUAAUAAUGGCCUGAACCUCUGAAACUUUCCUAAUGCCUAGAAUACAUAUGCAAUGGCAGAAACUCCAGCAGUCAUCUUGAGCUGACCUGGGUGAAAACACAAAGCCACAUGGCAGAGCAGUGAGAGGAAGAGCCUGGAACCACACUUAGAGCCACCUUUGUCCAAACUACCUGGAAUAGCAGGCAGCCCGUCUUCUUCUCACUGUGCUGUGCCCACCCCUGACGCCCCGAGCAAGGAAAAGGAGCGAAGCCAGAUGGGAUAGAAUUGUGACCUUGAUGAAAAGCCAAUGAGAGGAAGAAAGCCCUGUUCACGAAGCUCUGGCAAAAUCCCCUCAGAGGAGCAGAUGGUUUUGUCUCCGUGACAACGAGAAGGGCCAGAAUUUGAAGGUGCUGAUGGAUCCCUCUCACAUGAGGGUGCCCAGCACGACAUCCAGACACCACCUGAGGCUGGAAUUACGGGGGAGGGGGGGGCUGACAAAUGACAGCUGCGGCCUGUUCCGACUAGAUGAUGACGGCGGGAACCCGUGGUUCGCUUCGGGGAAAGCCUCAGUGUGAUACGGUGGGAGCAGAUGGGAAGCUUUCCAGCGCCCAAGGUAGAUGUCUUGGGAGUGUCUAGCAGGUCAGGAGGCCCUACUCCCCUUGAUCUCUCUAGGGUCACAUUCCUAGGACACCAAACAUGUCUACCUAACAUAUCAUCUUCAGUCAUCCAAGCACAGAAAAGGGCAUUAUGCUCGCUGACAGGGCGUAUGUUACAUCUCACACUUGACUUUCAAGACCUUGAAUGAAUUUUGCUGAAAUAAAUGUUCACCUCUGGGUUUAGUCCAA
rnacentral:lncRNA from 1 species